UACGUAGGGUGCAAGCGUUGUCCGGAAUUACUGGGCGUAAAGCGCACGUAGGCGGCUUUGCAAGUCAGAGGUGAAAGCCCGGGGCUCAACCCCGGAAUUGCCUUUGAGACUGCAUCGCUAGAAUUGUGGAGAGGUAAGUGGAAUUCCGAGUGUAGAGGUGAAAUUCGUAGAUAUUCGGAAGAACACCAGUGGCGAAGGCGACUUACUGGACACAUAUUGACGCUGAGGCACGAAAGCGUGGGGAUCAAACAGG
rnacentral:rRNA from 1 species